AUAAAGGCCAUUCAGUGACGACAAAGAAGAAAGGUUAAGAAUGCCAUGUUGGAAGUCCUUUGAAUCCUGCAAAAAAAGAACUAUGCAAAUCCACUGUUGAUUGCCAAAGGGUUCCAGCACAAUAACUUUAGGGAAGAAGAGAAGAUGAUUUAACGACUGAGGUUUUUCCUUUUUUUUAUUGGUUGGUUGGUUUUUUUACAUCAGAUGGGUAAUGUGCAAAUGUGGUAACAAGGUUGGAGGGCAGCAUAUCUCGCACAUGAGUAUAAAUACCCAAUCAUCACACAUAAGUUGCAAAAGGAUCAACAACUGCAUUUUGUAAAGCUGUGAGGUUUUCUGUUAUUUUAAAUCCCCAUAAUAGGUCAGAACCCUUUGCUAGGCAUAAUGGAAGAGAUGGGUGUACAUUAUGUACAAUUUCUGUGUUCUGUGGUAGCCUAAGGAAAGAUGCCCAGAUCUGGAAAUAAAGCACAGCACCAUAAUGACAGUGAUCA
ensembl:lncRNA novel transcript